GCACAACACUGCUGAAAUCACUGCGGCCCUUUCUAGUCCUGCGGCUCCAAUCUCUACGUGAUGAGAAUAAAACCCUUUUGUGCGGCACAGGGCUUGAUGGAGCCCUUAUCUCCGUGCCUCUGCACCCAGAAUAGAAAAAUCCAUUUCCACAUCUGACUGGAACAAAUCCUCCUGAACUCGGCCAUCGUUUCACUGCACACAGUCCUUGUGGCCCCUGGGGUGCCCAGAAACAACCUCAGUGUCCUUAGGAGGAUCAGAAGGGUAUCUGGAUUAGCGUUGUUGUCACAGAGAAAACUGAGAAUUCACCAGGAGGAAGAAGGAGCUGAGCUGAGAGGCUGGAGGUGGGAGGCAGAGAGCUGAAUCCCCUGCAGAGCUGCCUUCCUACUGGGUUCACAUUCGGAGUACCAAAAUGAUGUCUCCUUGGCACACCCGCUCAGCGCCAGCAUUGCAGUGCUUGGGCUCUUCAGGGAUGUCGGUAUUUUAAGAAGUCAACCAGUUGGUGGAGUUUCUCAAAUGGUGACUUGAAGCAGAUGGAAUUACAAAGGCGUGUGAAGUGAAGCCUCAGCUCAGUUUGGUGAGGAAAGCAGUGGCAGCCACUCUGGAGAAGGAAACCCUUACUGUACCUCCCCUCACUGCUCUCAGAUGCUUUCAGGUUGGAUAUAAGGAAAAACUUCUCAGAAAGAGCGGUGCUGCAGUGGCACAGGCUGCCCAGGGACGUGGUGGAGUCACCGUCACUAGAGGUGUUCAGAGCUGUGUGGAUGUGGCACUGAGGACGUGGUCAGUGGGCACGGUGGGGAUGGGAUGGUGGUUGGACCAGGUGAUCUUAGAGGUCUUUUCCAACCUUAAUGAUUCUAUGAUUGCUGCAAGGUCCCCAUUCUCUGUCCCACGCCUUUUUCAGUACCUGGCUAUCAGCCAUCACCGUACUCCCUAGUUGAUGCCAUUUUUCCUCUGUCCUACAGGGACUGCUGUGCUGGCUGUGCUCCACGUUCACUUUGCUCUACUCAUUGCUGCAAGAGGCACACGACAGGCUGCCAUUUAAAGAGCUGUGUCGUCCACAUGUCUGGCCACUUGGUAGCUGUAUCUUUUUGCCCUUCUACUCUUUUUAACCCCUUAGACAGGCAGGGGCUUCAGCAGUUCAUCUUCAUUCUGCUGGCAUUUCUUCGCUGCGCUCCAUUGGGUGCUGUGGAAGCCUUUUUAAUGCAACAGAUUGUGAAUCCCACAGCCAUGAAUAGUUUGGCUGCUUUUCUCACUACAACCUACAGUGUGGGGAGCUGGUGCAUGGAUGGAAGGAGGGGGAGAUGUGAAAGGUAGCAGAAGAUAGAAACUGGCUACCAAUCAUUUUCUUUUCUCUUUGAGUUGAGCCUACACUCCUCAGCAUAUGACUGCUCAUGCUCAGGGGAAUAAGUGUGCUUUGUAAGAGGAGCUAAGCAAAAGGCUGGGACAAACUGGGAGUUCAGCUUUAGCUCCCUGAGGCUGAGCCUCCUGUCCUAGCACACCUGCCCCAUGCCAUCCCUUCACACCACAUGCCUUCUUUCAAGUGUCCUGUGAGACAUCUCUCUAUCACUCAGCCAGCUCUUGUCAUUGAACCUACCUGGAGUCCAUCCUCCAACAUCUCCUGAGCUAAGGGAACUUUAUGUCUAAAUUGUCUGUGGAUGAGAGUGCCCAUAUACUACCAAGGGCUCUGGUAUGAGAAUCUUCUUGGUGGCUGUAGCUUAGCAACAGCAUUCAUGGAGAAGCUCAAGGUUUGAGGACAGACAUAGCCUGUAGGAAUGAAGCCAAACUGGCGGGAGAGACCUUCAUCCCACCCACCCUUGUGCAUUGCUGCUCUUCCACAGGCCCACUUACAGCUUCCUUCCAGCAACUGAUGCACACUCAUCCAACACUCACAGCAACACACGCCCUCUCACACUCUGACACAACUUGUCACAUGCACACUCAUUGCUAUAUAUAUUUGCAUGACUACACUUAAGCAUCCCACAGUUGCAUAAACAUUCUUCCUCGCCUGCAUUUUUAUGCACUUAUGUACACAUAAACCUUUAUCUGUAUGUAUCUGUACCCACCCCACAGUCACACACAGGAUAGCAUCAGUGCCAAAUUAUGCAUUCCCCUCCAACGCUGACUCCUCAAUCCUUGAUCCUGUUCAGCCAUCCUCACACACAUACAGUCCACUGAUCAAAUUUUUACAUACAACCACUUUCAUAUAUUUGCAGGCACAUCAUUUCCUCUCCAUCCAAAGCCAAAUAGUCCACAAUUUCCCACAAGAACAGUCAGCUGCUAGUAUUUCCCAGACUCCUCCAACACACAUUGGAGAUCCCUCUGGCCCCCUCUGCUUCCUGCCCCCAUUCUCUGCUGAUACAUACUUUGAUGUCCUGUACCAGCCAAACAUUCCUUUAUACAGAGAUCAGAGGAUCAGAGAGAUUGUGUAUUCUCAGGAGAGCCAAAUCUAUAGCAUCUCCCUUCUCCUAAACACACAGAAUUGUUCUGCUCAGUUGGCUUUUAAGUCCAAAGGCAUUUUGUUUAUUUACAGCCAGGCUGAGGGAGAGAAAAAGAGAAAAGGCAUUUCAGUUUAUAAGAAACCCUGCCUCCAACCCAUGCCUCACUGGCUUAUUUUCUACUCUUGUUACACCUCCCAUCAGGGUGCAGUCACCAGAAGAGCUUGAAGUUUGUAGAUUUUGGGAAAGAAAUGUCCCAUUUGCACUGCCAAGUAAUUCUCAUCAUCAAGUGGUCUCCAGCCAGGACCAGUGAGGGGGUAAGUUGUCCCUAAGACUUUUUGAAGAGCUAGAAAAAUGUCAGCCAUUCAUGGAACAGGCUGCUGGUGGCUUUUAGCUGCAGACAUUUGUCCUUCCUGUUCUUCCUCCAGCGUAAACCACUUCUCAUGUCCACAAGGAGGAUAACCAAGGCACUGGGAUGCCUGUUCUAGAUCUUCAGAGGCACACAUCACAUAUACCUAUUUGAGAACUCUCUUGAAGUGCCAGUCACGUGGUAGCUGAUGCUCUUCAUAGACUUCUCUGGGGGACAUUCUGGCACUUCCUGGCUCUGGACACGGCGGGAUGGCCUGAAGAUGGCCCUUCGGAAGCCCUGCUUGAAGCGGUAGGAGAGGAAGCCAUAGAUGAUAGGAUUGGCACAGCU